AGUGAACGCUGGCGGUAGGCCUAACACAUGCAAGUCGAACGGCAGCACAGUAAGAGCUUGCUCUUACGGGUGGCGAGUGGCGGACGGGUGAGGAAUACAUCGGAAUCUACUUUUUCGUGGGGGAUAACGUAGGGAAACAUACGCUAAUACCGCAUACGACCUACGGGUGAAAGCAGGGGAUCUUCGGACCUUGCGCGAUUGAAUGAGCCGAUGUCGGAUUAGCUAGUUGGCGGGGUAAAGGCCCACCAAGGCGACGAUCCGUAGCUGGUCUGAGAGGAUGAUCAGCCACACUGGAACUGAGACACGGUCCAGACUCCUACGGGAGGCAGCAGUGGGGAAUAUUGGACAAUGGGCGCAAGCCUGAUCCAGCCAUGCCGCGUGGGUGAAGAAGGCCUUCGGAUUGUAAAGCCCUUUUAUUGGGAAAGAAAAGCAGCAGGUUAAUACCCCGCUGUUCUGACGGUACCCAAAGAAUAAGCACCGGCUAACUUCGUG
rnacentral:rRNA from 1 species